rnacentral:rRNA from 1 species
UACGUAGGGUGCAAGCGUUAAUCGGAAUUACUGGGCGUAAAGCGUGCGCAGGCGGUUUUGUAAGUCUGUCGUGAAAGCCCCGGGCUCAACCUGGGAAUGGCGAUGGAGACUGCAAGGCUAGAGUGUGUCAGAGGGGGGGUAGAAUUCCACGUGUAGCAGUGAAAUGCGUAGAGAUGUGGAGGAACACCGAUGGCGCAAGGGCAGCCCCCCUGGGAUAACACU